rfam:Nicotiana attenuata strain TT chromosome 7, whole genome shotgun sequence.
GUGCUUGUAGCUUAGUGGAUAGAGUGCCUGUUUCCUAAGUUGAAGGUUGCAGGUUCGACCCUACUUGGCGCG